UUGCCUACGGGUGGCUGCAGUAGGGAAUAUUGCUUAAUGGGCGAAAGCCUGAAGCAGCAACGCCGCGUGUACGAUGAAGGCCUUCGGGUUGUAAAGUACUUUUGCAGGGGAUGAGGAAGGACAGUACCCUGAGAAUAAGUCUCGGCUAACUACGUGCCAGCAGCCGCGGUAAAACGUAGGAGACGAGCGUUAUCCGGAUUUACUGGGCGUAAAGCGCGUGCAGGCGGCACGGAAAGUUGGAUGUGAAAGCUCCCGGCUUAACUGGGAGAGGUCGUUCAAAACUACCGAGCUAGAGUAUGGGAGAGGGAAGCGGAAUUCCGGGUGUAGUGGUGAAAUGCGUAGAUAUCCGGAGGAACACCAGUGGCGAAAGCGGCUUCCUGGCCCGAGACUGACGCUCAGACGCGAAAGCUAGGGUAGCAAACGGGAUUAGAUACCCAGUAGUCU
rnacentral:rRNA from 1 species